rnacentral:lncRNA from 1 species
UGAAGAGUAAUGAAGGGAGUCAAGGCAAAGGAGCCAGUGCAGGUUACCUUCACUUUAUAACCAUUUGGAAGAGUAACAAGGUAAGGCAGAGUUAGAGGGAUAAUAUUAAAGAGUAGAGUCUUAUCAUGAGUCAUAUGAUUAGAGGCACCUGAAUCUAUUAUCCAGGUGACAGAAUUAAUGUGAGUGAGCAAGCAAAGUUUAGAAUCAGAUACAGGGUUCUCAGUCAAUAAAGUACCAGCAAAGUUUGCAGCAUAUAAGGGAGAAAGAUCUUGAGCAGUGGAUUCUCCCAGAUUGGACUGGUGUAACAUGUUCAUCAGCUGGUCAUAAUCAUGUUUGCUCAACCCAGGGAUCACAGAGCUUUGACCAUCUAAGCUUGCAGCAGACUGAUGGUUAGCAGAAGGAGUCCCUUGAGGAACAGACAACAAUCCAUCAGAUAUAUGAGAAUCCAGACCAGUACUCAGAUGAGCAGCAGCAGGCCUCCUUCCCUUGUUAAAUGUGGGACUUUGUGGAUACCCAUGCAGCUUGAAACACUUAUCAAUUAAGUAUCCAGACUUUUUACAGUAUCGACAAAACAAAGGUCCCUUG